GGCUUCCAUCAGCUUGUCUCUGACUGGCUUAGUUCCAGAAGAACACCCAGUCCUAGCCUCUGAAAGGACUCUGGAAUCCUUGGGGCUUGGAGGUUUUGCCCAUCUGCUUCUCCAAAGGGAGCCUGGUGGUAUUUCCGGGUCCCUCCCUUGGGAUUUGCUCUAAGAUGGUAGGAUGUUCCUGAGCUAGAGAAAGAAAGAAGAUCACAUUUCUAAAUUGGACAAAUUCCCAUUAAAAUAAGGGGCUACCAGUGCUGGUAAGAACUCUGGAAAGGGAAAGGCUGAUAGGUUCCAAUGUUUAUUCACUCCUGAGACAAAUGGCUCUUCUGAUAAUGUUACCACGGACCACUGGGGACUGACCUUCAACUGCCAAGCUCAUUUCAUUUAAGAUAUCAGUUGGAUUAAUAAGCAUUCAGAGUCUGAUCCCAUGAGGUGUAAGGUGCCCUCAACUUCCCUGACAUCAGUGGGGGAGAAGGGGACUCAGGACAGUCCAAUUCCAGGCUCUCUAGGAAGAAUGACUCAUAUGUAUGUUCAGAACAUUCCAAUUUGCAGCACUAGUUGAAGACAGUAAAAUUACAGGUUCCCUUUUAUUUAUAGAAGAAUCUUGGCCUUUUGAAUACAGACAAGCAGAUUAAACAUACAAAAAUCCCUUGGACAAAACAGAUUUUAGCUUUUUCUCUGUCCUCGUACUUGCUUCGUUAGAGCCUGAAAUGUUAGUAGAUUCUGUGGAGAAUGAUUAAUGAUACAUGGUGGGAACCAUUGAGCAUUCUCCUCUCCUUUCCCAAGUAAAGCUCUUUAAUGUAUUAAAUCAAUAUUUCUAAAAAUAGAAAUGAAUGUGUAAGGGAUAAAAAUGCAAUUCUGGGGUGGGAAAGGGUCUUUAAUCACUAUAUACAUAUAUAUUUGCCAAAUGUACAAGUAUUUAUCAUUGAAACCUCCACUGAUGAACUGUUCCCACACUCUAAUAGGCUGUAGGAAGGAUGUAAUAGGGAUUAUAGGGUUCAAUGCUGCAAAGUGCUGAAUGCCCUCAACUCUCAUUGACAGCAGUGAGCAGUGAAGGUGCUUUUGACUGGCAGAAGAUGCUGAGAACCUCACAGUAUCAGGACCUGUUAAGUUCAUUUUUUAAAAAUAUUAUUUUCAAAGUCACCCACCAACUUAUUCAGAAUCUCAGAGAAGAACAGAUUGGUUAUUCAAAAUUUAAUUAGGUAAAUGAUAAAUAUAGUGGCUUGAAUUAUGAAAA